rnacentral:rRNA from 1 species
GACGAACGCUGGCGGCGUGGAUUAGGCAUGCAAGUCGAACGGUAGGAUCCUUUCGGGGAUCUGAGAGUGGCGAACGGGUGAGUAACACGUAGGUGAUCUACCCUCAAGACGGGGACAACCCAGGGAAACUUGGGCUAAUACCGGAUGUGAGCUAUCGCGAGAUAGUUUGAAAGGUGGCUUCGGCUGCCGCUUGAGGAUGAGCCUGCGUCCUAUUAGCUAGUUGGUGAGGUAACGGCUCACCGAGGCAGUGAUAGGUAGGCGGCCUUAACGGGUGGUCGCCCACACUGGGAUUGAGAUACGGCCCAGACUCCUACGGGAGGCAGCAGUCGAGAAUAGUCUACAAUGGUCGAAAGACUGAUAGUGCGACGCCGCGUGAACGAAGAAGCCCUUCGGGUGUAAAGUUCUUUUAUAUGUGAGCAGUGCUUCUUAUAUUAACAGUAUGGGGAGAGAGAUAUUAGCAUAUGAAUAAGCAACGGCUAACUCCGUGCCAGCAGCCG